rnacentral:rRNA from 1 species
UACAUGGGGUGCAAACGUUGCUCGGAAUUAUUGGGCGUAAAGCGCACGUAGGCGGUUCGUUUAAGUCGGAUGUGAAAAGCCCCUCGGCUCAACUGAGGAAGUGCACCCCGAAAACUGGCGAGCUUGAGUACGAAAAGAGGAUCGCGGAAUUCCCGGUGUAGAGGUGAAAUUCGUAGAUAUCGGGAGGAACACCGGUGGCGAAGGCGGCGAUCUGGGGUCGAUACUGACGCUGAGGUGCGAAAAGCGUGGGGGAGCAAACAGG